CCCUAGGAAAGCUCCAGGUGGGUUUGUCUCUUUGCUCCCUUCCUCGAUGAACCUCAAAGCUCUGGCAGAUGUGCCCUGGAGUCACGGGGGGAAGAAUACCUGGUUUGGUGACCAGCUCCUGCCCGGAAGGUCCAGGGCUCAGUCCGCUGCUGCCACUCUGAUGGCCUCCCGGAAUCGCAGCUCCCCCAAGAGGGGCGUCUUUCUCCUGCUCCGCAUCCCCGUCCUUCCCGGUGUCGCCAGGGCCGCCCCGCAGCAGCCAAACGAAAAGUGCUCCGGCCAGACCCCCUCCAACCAGCAGGGCGGACCAGACGGCGCCCAUGGCUGAGAGGCCGCGGCCGCAGGAGACUACAGGGACUGGGACCGGGGCUCAGGUCACGCACACAGAGCCACACCUACCCCGCCCGCUCCAGCCUUUUACGGUUUCUGCGCCGGGCACUCCGGCGGAGCCCGGCCCUGAGCGACCAGUACUCAACUUUCCCAGCCCCGCCCCGCUCCCCGCCCCUGGGCUGCAGCCCCGGGCUCCCUCCCGGGGAAGACUCCAGCGCUCUUCUGUCCCUACACUUUCUGUUCCCGGCCUUGCCAGUUGCCAGCGGCCAGGGGCGCAGGGGUCGGCGUUCCACGUGUGUCCCGCGUGAAGAACCCAAGUGCGCACAACUGCCCCGCGCAGCCGGGACCUGCCCCACCGCCCUUCCUUCUUCCGCCUGCUGCCCGCGAGGCCCAGCCCUGCCUCGGCCCGCACCGGGCACCUCGGCGCCUUCUCCCCAGGGAAGCUCAGCAGCAACGCGGUCAGCUAGAGGCCGAGAGCUUCCUGGAACUUAGAGGUGGGAGAGGCCGCGGGCGUCGGUGACGCGCGGGCUGGAGCGCGGGCUAGAGCGGUGGCGCGUUCGGGUGGGAUGGGUGGCCCGGAGGACGGCGGGCGCGGUGCGGGGAAACUGGGAGCCCUAGUGGAAGCUCCGCUCCGCCGCCAGCUCAGCGCGCUUAGCCUCCCCAAGCUUCCGCCUCCUCGCCUGUAAAAUGGAAGGACUGGACUGAGGACCAUCCAUCUAAAGAUGCCAGUCAGCUCAAUCACAUCCAGUCUCGUCCUCUUUGGGCGUGUAUGGCUGCUGCGAAAUGCGCACGCAUCUGUAUGAACUGGAUGUUGUCCAUGGACGAGCUCCUACAGAUAAGUUUGUUAAUAAA
rnacentral:lncRNA from 10 species